AGAGUUUGAUCCUGGCUCAGAGCGAACGCUGGCGGCAUGCUUAACACAUGCAAGUCGCACGGGCAGGGUAACCUGUCAGUGGCGGACGGGUGAGUAACGCGUAGGUAUCUAUCCUUGGGUGGGGGACAACUGUGGGAAACUACAGCUAAUACCGCAUGAUAACUGAGGUUUAAAGGCGCAAGUCGCCUGGGGAGGAGCCUGCGUACGAUUAGCUAGUUGGUGGGGUAAAGGCCUACCAAGGCUACGAUCGUUAGCUGGUCUGAGAGGAUGAUCAGCCACAUUGGGACUGAGACACGGCCCAAACUCCUACGGGAGGCAGCAGUGGGGAAUAUUGGACAAUGGGCGAAAGCCUGAUCCAGCAAUGCCGCGUGUGUGAAGAAGGUCUUCGGAUUGUAAAGCACUUUCGACGGGGACGAUGAUGACGGUACCCGUAGAAGAAGCCCCGGCUAACUUCGUGCCAGCAGCCGCGGUAAUACGAAGGGGGCUAGCGUUGCUCGGAAUGACUGGGCGUAAAGGGCGCGUAGGCGGAUGACACAGUCAGAUGUGAAAUUCCCGGGCUUAACCUGGGGGCUGCAUUUGAUACGUGUUGUCUAGAGUGAGGAAGAGGGUUGUGGAAUUCCCAGUGUAGAGGUGAAAUUCGUAGAUAUUGGGAAGAACACCGGUGGCGAAGGCGGCAACCUGGUCCUUGACUGACGCUGAGGCGCGAAAGCGUGGGGAGCAAACAGGAUUAGAUACCCUAGUAGUCC
rnacentral:rRNA from 1 species